GACGAACGCUGGCGGCGUGCCUAAUACAUGCAAGUUGAGCGAUGAAGCUUGGUGCUUGCACCAAUUUGAAGAGCAGCGAACGGGUGAGUAACGCGUGGGGAAUCUGCCUUUGAGCGGGGGACAACAUUUGGAAACGAAUGCUAAUACCGCAUAAUAACUUUAAACAUAAGUUUUAAGUUUGAAAGAUGCAAUUGCAUCACUCAAAGAUGAUCCCGCGUUGUAUUAGCUAGUUGGUGAGGUAAAGGCUCACCAAGGCGAUGAUACAUAGCCGACCUGAGAGGGUGAUCGGCCACAUUGGGACGGAGACACGGCCCAAACUCCUAGGGGAGGCAGCAGUAGGGAAUCGUCGGCAAUGGGCGAAAGUCUGACCGAGCAACGCCGAGUGAGGGAAGAAGGAUUUCGGAUCGUAAAACUCUGUUGGUAGAGAAGAACGUUGGUGAGAGUGGAAAGCACAGCAAGUGACGGUAACGACCCAGAAAGGGACGGCUAACUACGUG
rnacentral:rRNA from 1 species